UUCCUUUGAUUUUGGGGAAGAUAUAAAGCGAGCAGCACUUUUAAUACAUGCUAGGAAGACAGAUGCAUGCGUAAUAAGAGACGUGCAAAUGCUCCAUACAGGUGAGUAAUGCUUUGGAAUCAAUCAAUAUGCACGAAUUGUAAAUUCGUAAUAUCAACCUUCGGUUUCUAUCCUGGUUAAUUGAUGAGCCAGAGUCGUAUUAGGUGAAGAAAGAUUUUUUAAUCAUAAUUUUCUUACCGAAGAUGCGUAGCUGAAAAGCCACACUUCCACUGAAACAAGGGGGAGACUCGGUAUAGAGGCAGCAGUAGAGAAUCUUGUGCAAUGUAUGAAAGUAUGACACAGAGAUGUUGCAAAAGAAGACCGUCCAAUAUACGUGCCAGCAGACGCGGUUAUACGUAAGGUCUAAGUUUUUAUCAGAAAAGGCGUAAAGGGUGUGUUGGCUAAAGUUUAUUUAAUAUAAGGAGUUUUAGGGGGUAAAUGGAAUUUUUAUGUAGCGGUAGAAUGCUUUUAUAUAAAUUAGAACACCGUAGGCGAAAGCGGUUUACCACUAAAAACUGACGCGGAAACACGAAAGUAAGGGGAGCAAAUAGGAUUAGAUACCCUAGUAGUCCUUACUGUAAAUUAUGAAUAUAAGAUCACUUAAAAUAGGUUAAGUAAUAUUACUUUAAUUUGUGUGUGGUCGACAAAAACUUAAGAUAGUUCUGCCUGAAGAGUACGAUCGCAAGAUUAAAAUUCAAAAAAUUUGGCGGUUCACUAAUCCAAUUAGAGGAGCGUGUGGUUUAAUUCGAUAGUCCGCGAUUAACCUUACCAAAAUUAGAAGCAAGCAGGGGUUAAGGAUUAAACGAAUAAAAUCGUAAUAUAAACCUUAGGUUUGUAUUUAACCUAACCGGGCUUGAAUUCAGGUAUUGCAUGGCCGUCGUCAGUUUGUGUUGUGAAAGUAAUAGAACGAACUUAACCCUUAAUCAAAAUUAUUAUUCAGUCAUUUUUGGUUAAAGGAUGACGUCAGGUCCUUAUGAUCCAUAUGUUUUGGGCUAUACAUGCGCUACAAUUUUAUACACAAAAAGAUUUUAAACCUUUUAAAGUAAAAGUUCGGAAAACUCUUUGAAAUAAGGAGUAUGAAGUUGGAUUUAAUAGUAAUCAGAAAGUAGAGGGUUCUGGUGAAUAUGGCUCUAGUGUUCGUACAAAUCGCCCGUCAUCUCUACCAAGUAAAGAAUCUUAAAGUGUUAAGUUAAAAUUAAUAGAAAAAAAAUCAAAUAUGAAAAGAUUGUUACAUAAUACUUUAAUUUGUAAUUUAGCAUCAUGGAGGGUUUAUAAGGUUGAGGAAGUCGUAACACAGCGGGGGUAUUGGAAAAUGUCCCCAGAUUAAU
rnacentral:rRNA from 1 species